rnacentral:rRNA from 1 species
AACGGCUACCACAUCUAAGGAAGGCAGCAGGCGCGUAAAUUACCCAAUCCUGACGCAGGGAGGUAGUGACAAGAAAUAUCAAUAGAUUGAACACAGUUCUGUCUAAUUGGAAUGAGUACAUUCUAAACCCCUUAACGAGAACCAAUUGGAGGGCAAGUCUGGUGCCAGCAGCCGCGGUAAUUCCAGCUCCAAUAGCGUAUACUAAAGUUGUUGCAGUUAAAAAGCUCGUAGUUGGAUUUCUGUGCACCGGUUGUUGGUCUGCCUCUAUGAGGUGGGUCCUUCACCGUUGUACAUCCUGUUGGCAGACACGUGCUGGCAUUCAUUUGUCGGUGCGGGGAGACCACUCGUUUACUUUGAGAAAAUUAAAGUGUUCAAAGCAGGCAAUCGCUUGAAUACAUUAGCGUGGAAUAAUAGUAUAGGACUUUGAUCUUAUUUGUUGGUUUUAAAGAUCAAAGUAAUGAUUGAUAGGGACAGUUGGGGGCAUCAGUAUUCUGAAGCGAGAGGUGAGAUUCUUGGACCUUCGGAAGACUAACAACUGCGAAAGCAUUUGCCAAGGAUGUUCUCUUUAAUCAAGAACGAAAGUUAGGGGAUCGAAGACGAUCAGAUACCGUCGUAGUCUUAACUAUAAACUAUGCCAGCUAGGGAUCGGUGAAACGUGUCUCGACUUCUUCAACACCCUUAUGAGAAAUCAAAGCAUUUGGGUUCCGGGGGGAGUAUGGUCGCAAGGCUGAAACUUAAAGGAAUUGACGGGAGGGCACCACCAGGAGUGGAGCCUGUGGCUUAAUUUGACUCAACACGGGAAAACUUACCAGGUCCGGACAUAGUAAGGAUUGACAGACUGAAGGUCUUUCUUGAUUCUAUGGGUGGUGGUGCAUGGCCGUUCUUAGUUGGUGGAGUGAUUUGUCUGGUUAAUUCCGUUAACAAACGAGACCCCAGCCUGCUAAAUAGGUGGUUCCAUUAUGAUGGGAUCUUCUUCUUAGAGGGGCUAUUGAGUGUCUAACCAAUGGAAGUUUGGGGCAAUAACAGGUCUGUGAUGCCCUUAGAUGUUCUGGGCCGCACACGGGCUACACUGCGGGGUUCAACGAGUAUAUACCCUGCGUAGAAAUGCGUAGGAAACCUUAUGAAAACCCCGCGUGCUUGGGAUAGACUAUUGCAAUUAUUAGUCUUCAACGAGGAAUUCCUAGUAAACGCAAGUCAUCAGCUUGCAUUGAUUACGUCCCUGCCCUUUGUACACACCGCCCGUCGCUCCUACCGAUUGGAUGAAUCGAUGAGUCUUUUGGAGAAUUCCGGCUGACCACAUUGUGCGACGCAGGUUUCGAAGUUAUGCAAAUCACUUCAUCUAGAGGAAGGAGAAGUCGUAACAGGGUAACC